AUGGGGACGCGCUGCGCCAGCCCGCUGUACGAGCGUCUAGAGCAGCCGCUGCCUCUGGGGACGAGCUGCGCGAAUGGGCUCGCCGUGCGCUUCGACGGCAGCGAAGGCGGGGAGACGGGCCUGCUGGUGCUGCCAGCUUGGGCCGCCUGCUUGCGCUCCUUGUGGAGGCUGCACCGGAAGGAGCCCGGGUGGUUCGUGGGGGAGCACAUGCAGGACCGACGGAUCUUGGGGGCGGCGGUGGGGGAGGAGGGGGGAGAGGAGACGCUGACGGACUUGACCGGCGACGGCGAGCCACCGGCGGGGAGCUUGACACGGGAGAGCGAGGCGGAUUGGUAG
rnacentral:rRNA from 1 species